UACGUAGGGGGCAAGCGUUAUCCGGAAUUACUGGGUGUAAAGGGAGCGUAGACGGUUAAGCAAGUCUGGAGUGAAAGGCGGGGGCCCAACCCCCGGACUGCUCUGGAAACUGUGUAACUGGAGUGCAGGAGAGGUAAGCGGAAUUCCUAGUGUAGCGGUGAAAUGCGUAGAUAUUAGGAGGAACACCAGUGGCGAAGGCGGCUUACUGGACUGUAACUGACGUUGAGGCUCGAAAGCGUG
rnacentral:rRNA from 1 species